rnacentral:rRNA from 1 species
AUUGAACGCUGGCGGCAGGCCUAACACAUGCAAGUCGAGCGGAUGAAGGGAGCUUGCUCCUGGAUUCAGCGGCGGACGGGUGAGUAAUGCCUAGGAAUCUGCCUGGUAGUGGGGGAUAACGUCCGGAAACGGGCGCUAAUACCGCAUACGUCCUGAGGGAGAAAGUGGGGGUUCUUCGGUCCUCACGCUAUCAGAUGAGCCUAGGUCGGGUUAGCUAGUUGGUGGGGUAAAGGCCUACCAAGGCGACGAUCCGUAACUGGUCUGAGAGGAUGAUCAGUCACACUGGACCUGAGACGCGGUACAGACUCCUACGGGAGGCAGCAGAGGAGAAAAUUGGACAAUGGGAGAAAGCCUAAUCCGACCAUGCCGCGUGUGGGAAGAAGGUAAGCGGAUUGUAAAGCACUUUAAGUUGGGAGGAAGGGCAGUAAGUUAAAACCUUGCUGUUUUGACGUUACCAACAGAAUAAGCACCGGCUAACUUCGUG